rnacentral:rRNA from 1 species
UACCUGCAGCUCAAGUGGUGACCACUAUUAUUGGGCCUAAAACGUUCGUAGCCGGUUUAUUAAAUGCUUGGGUAAAUCGUGUAGCUUAACUAUACGAAUUCCGGGUAGACUGAUAGACUUGAGACCGGGAGAAGCUAGAGGUACUCCUGGGGUAGAGGUGAAAUUCUGUAAUCCUGGGGGGACCACCAGUGGCGAAGGCGUCUAGCUAGAACGGGUCUGACGGUGAGGAACGAAGCCCUGGGGCGCAAACCGGAUUAGAUACCCCGGGUAGUCCAGGGUGUAAACGCUGCUUGCUUGAUGUUAGUUGGGCUCCGAGCCCAAUUAGUGUCGGAGAGAAGUUGUUAAGCGAGCUGCCUGGGAAGUACGGUCGCAAGGCUGAAACUUAAAGGAAUUGGGCGGGGGAGCACAGCAACGGGUGGAGCGUGCGGUUU